GACGAACGCUGGCGGCGUGCUUAACACAUGCAAGUCGAACGGAAAGGCCCUGCUUUUGUGGGGUGCUCGAGUGGCGAACGGGUGAGUAACACGUGAGUAACCUGCCCUUGACUUUGGGAUAACUUCAGGAAACUGGGGCUAAUACCGGAUAGGAGCUCCUGCUGCAUGGUGGGGGUUGGAAAGUUUCGGCGGUUGGGGAUGGACUCGCGGCUUAUCAGCUUGUUGGUGGGGUAGUGGCUUACCAAGGCUUUGACGGGUAGCCGGCCUGAGAGGGUGACCGGCCACAUUGGGACUGAGAUACGGCCCAGACUCCUACGGGAGGCAGCAGUGGGGAAUAUUGCACAAUGGGCGGAAGCCUGAUGCAGCAACGCCGCGUGCGGGAUGACGGCCUUCGGGUUAUAAACCGCUUUCGCCUGUGACGAAGCGUGAGUGACGGUAAUGGGUAAAGAAGUACCGGCUAACUACGUG
rnacentral:rRNA from 1 species